ensembl:misc_RNA 7SK 7SK RNA
AGAUGUGAGGAUGAUCUGGCUGUGACAUCUGUCACCCCAUUGAUUGCCAGGGUUGAUUUGGCUGAUCUGACUGGCUAGGCUGGUGUCCCCUUCCACUCUCACCACUCCAUGCGCGUCCCUUCCAAAGCUGCGUUCUCAGUCGAAGAGGAUGACCAUCCCCAAUAAAGGAGGACCAGUCUUCUGUCAAGGGUAUAUGAGUAGCUGCACUCCCCUCCUAGAACCUCCAAGCUUUCAAAUAACUGGUGAUUCUUAAGAUACAAGGAGCUAACUAGGGAUAGAAUGAUUUCCCAAACUUCUCCUAAAAGGAGACUAUAGUUCCAGACCAUACUGUCAACUUUU